GUGGGGAAUAUUGGACAAUGGGCGAAAGCCUGAUCCAGCCAUGCCGCGUGUGUGAAGAAGGUCUUCGGAUUGUAAAGCACUUUAAGUUGGGAGGAAGGGCAGUAAGUUAAUACCUUGCUGUUUUGACGUUACCGACAGAAUAAGCACCGGCUAACUUCGUGCCAGCAGCCGCGGUAAUACGAAGGGUGCAAGCGUUAAUCGGAAUUACUGGGCGUAAAGCGCGCGUAGGUGGUUUUGUAAGUUGGAGGUGAAAUCCCAGGGAUAAACCUGGGAACUGCUUCCAAAACUGCAUGACUAGAGUACGGUAGAGGGUAGUGGAAUUUCCUGUGUAGCGGUGAAAUGCGUAGAUAUAGGAAGGAACACCAGUGGCGAAGGCGACUACCUGGACUGAUACUGACACUGAGGUGCGAAAGCGUGGGGAGCAAACAGGAUUAGAAACCCUUGUAGUCC
rnacentral:rRNA from 1 species